AUGAUGAAAGGUCUGGACCAAGCUUCAGGAAAUAUAGCUGUACAUUCAGCCUUCUCUGUACUUUCCCAAAAGGAACAGAAAAAGAACAAAUCCCAGGGAUCAAUUUCAUUUGAGGAUGUGACUGUGAACUUUACCCAGGAGGAGUGGGGUCAACUGGACCCUGAUCAGAGGACCUUGUACAGGGAUGUGAUGUUGGAGAACUAUAGCAUCUUCAUCUCACUGGGACAUUGCAUUACCAAACCAGAGGAGAUCUUGAAGUUAGAGCAAGAAGGCACCAUGGGUGUUAGAGAAAGAAUUUGCAAGCCGGUAUUACCAUGAUGAAAAAAUGUCCAGUAAAUAUAAUCUAGAUGGAGUCAGUUUAGAAAAUAUGUCGGAGUUAACCACUAAUAAUAAAAACUACUCAGGAAAGAAAUCCGAUGAUGCCAAUGGGUACAAGAAAUUGCUUCCUGAUAUUAAUCAUGAGAAAACUCAUACUAGAGAGAAGUUUAAUGAAUUUAAUAAAAAUGAGAGCAUCUUCUAUCGUAAUGAGGAUUUUAUUCAGCAACAAAAGAUUCACACUGUGGAGCAACUGCCUGAAUAUAAUGAAUGCAUUAAAACCUUCCACAAUAAUGCUCUCUUCUUUACACAUAAGAGAACUCACACAGGAGAGAAAUUAUGUGAUUAUAAUAAAUGUGAGAAAACUUUCAGGGAUGAGUCAAACCACAUGCUACGUCAGAUAAUUUACUCAAGGAAGAAUCACUAUAAAUUUAAUGAAUGUGGGGAAAGCUGUGAUAAGUCAGCCCUUUGGAAGAAACGUCCUAGAAUUCACAUGGGUGAAGAGUGUGAGAAAUACCAUGAGUGUGAUGUAUGUGGGAAAACCUUCCUCCGGAAGUCAAACCUCACAAUACAUCACAGAAUACACACAGGAGAAAAACCCUAUAAAUGUAAUGAAUGUGGGAAAUCCUUUUACCAGAAGUCAACCCUCACUGUACAUCAAAGAACUCAUACAGGAGAGAGACCCUAUGAAUGUGCUAAAUGUGGGAAAAAAUUCUACCAGAACUCAGCCCUCCAUCAGCAUCAAAGAACACACACAGGGGAGAAGCCUUACAAAUGUAGUGAAUGUGGAAAAUCUUUCUCCCAAAAGUCAGACCUGACUGUGCAUCAGAGCUCUCACACAGGGGAAAAACCUUAUAAAUGUAACAAAUGUGACAAGUCCUUUAGUAUAAAGUCAAAACUCACUGUACACCAGAGAAUACACUCAGGGGAGAAGCCCUAUGAAUGUAGCAACUGUGGGAAAAUGUAUCAUAUGAAGUCAACCCUCAUUAAACAUCAAAGACUUCACACAGGGCAGAAGAUAUAUGAAUGCAGUGAAUGUAGGAAGACCUUCUGUGGGAAGUCAGUUCUCCUUAAGCAUCAGAGAACUCAUACAGGGGAGAAACCUUAUGAAUGUGUAGAAUGUAGGAAAACCUUUUCUGAGAAGUCAACCCUCAGUAAACAUCGGAGAAUUCAUACCGGCGAGAAACCCUUUGAAUGUAACAAAUGCGGGAAGUCCUUCUGCCAAAAGUCACAACUCAUUGAACAUCAGAGAAUUCAUACAGGGGAGAAGCCCUUUGAAUGUAAAGAAUGUAGGAGAACAUUUUGCCAGAGGGCAUCCCUCAAUGUACAUCAGAGAACACACACAGGAGAGAGGCCCUAUGAAUGUAACGAAUGUGGAAAAUGUUUUUAUGAUAGUUCGACCCUCACUAAACAUAAGAGGAUUCAUUCAGGGGAGAAACCCUAUAAAUGUAAUGAAUGUGGGAAGACCUUCAGCCACAAAGCAACUCUCACCACACAUCAGAAAAUACACAGAAGAGAAACACUGUAA